AGCGAACGCUGGCGGCAGGCUUAACACAUGCAAGUCGAGCGCCUGUAGCAAUACAGGAGCGGCAGACGGGAGAGUAACACGUGGGAACGUACCCUUCAGUACGGAACAACCCAGGGAAACUUGGGCUAAUACCGUAUACGUCCGUAAGGAGAAAGAUUUAUCGCUGAAGGAUUGGCCCGCGUCUGAUUAGCUAGUUGGUGAGGUAACGGCUCACCAAGGCGACGAUCAGUAGCUGGUCUGAGAGGAUGAUCAGCCUCAUUGGGACUGAGACACGGCCCAAACUCCUACGGGAGGCAGCAGUGGGGAAUAUUGGACAAUGGGCGCAAGCCUGAUCCAGCCAUGCCGCGUGGAUGAUGAAGGCCUUAGGGUUGUAAAGUCCUUUCGACGGGGGAAGAUAAUGACGGUACCCGUAGAAGAAGCCCCGGCUAACUUCGUGCCAGCAGCCGCGGUAAG
rnacentral:rRNA from 1 species